rnacentral:rRNA from 1 species
CCUACGGGUGGCAGCAGUGGGGAAUAUUGGACAAUGGGGGAAACCCUGAUGCAGCGACGCCGCGUGAGUGAAGAAGUAUUUCGGUAUGUAAAGCUCUAUCAGCAGGGAAGAAAAUGACGGUACCUGAGUAAGAAGCCCCGGCCAACUACGUGCCAGCAGCCGCGGUAAUACGUAGGGGGCAAGCGUUAUCCGGAUGUACUGGGUGUAAAGGGAGCGUAGACGGCGGGGCAAGUCUGGUGUGAAAGGCGGGGGCUCAACCCCGGGACUGCAUUGGAAACUGUUGGGCUGGAGUGCAGGAGAGGUAAGCGGAAUUCCUAGUGUAGCGGUGAAAUGCGUAGAUAUUAGGAGGAACACCAGUGGCGAAGGCGGCUUACUGGACUGUAACUGACGUUGAGGCUCGAAAGCGUGGGGAGCAAACAGGAUUAGAUACCCCAGUAGUC